AGCAAGGUGGGCAUGCUGCAGUUGUUUGUGCGGGACCUGAGUGAGCAGAAUGAGGUUCUGAUCCAGGCGCUGGAGGCUGAGGAGGCGGAGGACCGGGUGGUGGAGGGGAGAACAGUCAGCCUUCACAAAGAGCUGGAGCGGCGCCUAUCCUUGGCUCUGUGCCCGAUGCCAGUGGACCUCGUGGGAACCACGGCAACGUUCUUCCGGACCCCGUGGAGGAGCGUGAAGCCCAGGUCCAGGAGCUGCAGGACACCAUCACAGAGCUGCACCAGGAGAUGACCAGGAAGGACCAGGACACGCUGACACAGCUGCAGGACACCAUCACAGAGCUGCACCAGGAGAUGACCAGGAAGUACCAGGACACGCUGACACAGCUGCAGGACACCAUCACAGAGCUGCACCAAGAGAUGACCAGGAAGGACCAGGACACGCUGACACAGCUGCAGGACACCAUCACAGAGCUGCACCAGGAGAUGACCAGGAAGUACCAGGACACGCUGACACAGCUGCAGGACACCAUCACAGAGCUGCACCAGGAGAUGACCAGGAAGGACCAGGACACGCUGACACAGCUGCAGGACACCAUCACAGAGCUGCACCAGGAGAUGACCAGGAAGUACCAGGACACGCUGACACAGCUGCAGGACACCAUCACAGAGCUGCACCAGGAGAUGACCAGGAAGGACCAGGACACGCUGACACAGCUGCAGGACACCAUCACAGAGCUGCACCAGGAGAUGACCAGGAAGUACCAGGACACGCUGACACAGCUGCAGGACACCAUCACAGAGCUGCACCAGGAGAUGACCAGGAAGGACCAGGACACGCUGACACAGCUGCAGGACACCAUCACAGAGCUGCACCAGGAGAUGACCAGGAAGUACCAGGACACGCUGACACAGCUGCAGGACACCAUCACAGAGCUGCACCAGGAGAUGACCAGGAAGGACCAGGACACGCUGACACAGCUGCAGGACACCAUCACAGAGCUGCACCAGGAGAUGACCAGGAAGUACCAGGACACGCUGACACAGCUGCAGGACACCAUCACAGAGCUGCACCAGGAGAAGGACCAGGACACGCUGACACAGCUGCAGGACACCAUCACAGAGCUGCACCAGGAGAUGACCAGGAAGUACCAGGACACGCUGACACAGCUGCAGGACACCAUCACAGAGCUGCACCAGGAGAUGACCAGGAAGUACCAGGACACGCUGACACAGCUGCAGGACACCAUCACAGAGCUGCACCAGGAGAUGACCAGGAAGGACCAGGACACGCUGACACAGCUGCAGGACACCAUCACAGAGCUGCACCAGGAGAUGACCAGGAAGGACCAGGACACGCUGACACAGCUGCAGGAGCUCCACCAGCUGGAGAGCAGGGUGAAGCAGCUCACUGACCAGGUCAGGAGCUCCGAGGAGACCAUAGGCCAGCUGAGACAGGAGGUGGCUGUUAGAGUGGGCAUCAGCAGCGCUACCCUGUCUGGGGACGUGAGCACAGCAGGGAAAGGGAGUACUACUGACUCGACAGGAUCCAGUCCAGUCCCACACCUUACAGAACAGAGGGGCAGAGAACUGCUGAAGACUGAGUUAUCACGUUGGGACGCAACCAUCCAGAGGCUCCAGCGAGAUGUGCUGCUCUCCCACCAGGCCCGCGACUCCCAGUCUGCUCAGCUGGAUGUCCAUGGGCAGAGGAUCUCUCAGCUGCAGACGGAGCUACAGGAGAGACAACUGGAGCUCCAGAGGGGACACAGCCGAAGAGAGCAGCAGCAGAGGGACCUGCAGACCCAGACACAGCAGGCAGAGGAGCUCCACACUCAGCUGGCUGAGGUCAAAGGGCGUCUUGUGCAGGUGGAGGGAGAAAAUGUGGCACUCAUGGGAUAUAAGCUGGAGCUGAGAGCCGAGGCUAAGGAGCAGACCCAAAAGUUCCAGGACACGGUGUCCAGUCUGAAGAGCCAGCAUGGCUGUGUUAGUCAGCAGCUGCAGGACAGGAGUGCUGAGGUGCAGAGGCUCCAGAGGUCAUUGGCUGAGCUACAUGGGCGAGAGAUGGAGUGGGAGAGAGAGACAUCCGCCCUGCAGGGCCAGCUGGGCCUUGCCAGAGAGGAGCUCCACAGCGCCAUCCUCAGGAGGCAGGCACAGCAGCAGAAGGAAGAGCUGUUUGGUGAGCUGCAGAGGGAGGUGGACAGACUGAAGAAUGAGAGACAGGAGAUGCGAAAAAAGCUUUGUGGUAGAGAAGAGGAGCUGAAGAGGCUGAGAGACGAGCAGCAUCAGCUCAAGGACAAGGUGAGGGAGAGCGAUGUGCAGGCUGUGUGGCUGCAGAGCCAGGCAGACGUGGUGGGUCGGGAGCUGUGGGAGGAGAGUGCCCAGCGCGACAGGGAGCUGUGGGAGUGGAGGGACCGCUACCAUGCUGUCUCAGAGGGACUGAGGUUGAGGGAGGCUGGGCUUGAGGAGGUGCAGAGGGCCAGGGACACAGCCCUCAGAAGCCUGAGAUUACAGGAGGAGAAGACCCACAGUCUGGGGGCCCAGAGGCAGGAGAUGCAGCACAGCCUGGAGGGCCUACAGGACAGGCUUGCCCAGAAGGAGGAGAUGGUCGUGGCUCUCAGAGUGAAGCUGCAGGACCAUGAAGAAGACGCCCGUGUUCUCCGCCAACAGCUGCUCUCCUCCCAAGAUGCACUGCAGCAAGUUACUGCCGAGCUGAGGUCAUGUAAAAGAGAGAGGGAGAAGCAGGAUAGCCAGUGUGUGGAGACAGAGGAGAGACUGGCUGAGAUCAGAGCUGAUCUGGUCCAACUACAGCAGCAGUAUACCACCUGCUAUGCCCAGCUGGUCCAGGAGGAGGCUGGGGUGGGCAGGCUGAGGGAGGAGCUGCGACCUGAGCCAUGA
ensembl:lncRNA trichohyalin-like